rnacentral:rRNA from 1 species
AACACAUGCAAGUCGAGCGGUAGAGAGAAGCUUGCUUCUCUUGAGAGCGGCGGACGGGUGAGUAAUGCCUAGGAAUCUGCCUAGUGGUGGGGGAUAACGUUCGGAAACGGACGCUAAUACCGCAUACGUCCUACGGGAGAAAGCGGGGGACCUUCGGGCCUCGCGCCAUUAGAUGAGCCUAGGUCGGAUUAGCUAGUUGGUGAGGUAAUGGCUCACCAAGGCGACGAUCCGUAACUGGUCUGAGAGGAUGAUCAGUCACACUGGAACUGAGACACGGUCCAGACUCCUACGGGAGGCAGCAGUGGGGAAUAUUGGACAAUGGGCGAAAGCCUGAUCCAGCCAUGCCGCGUGUGUGAAGAAGGUCUUCGGAUUGUAAAGCACUUUAAGUUGGGAGGAAGGGUAGUAACUUAAUACGUUGCUACUUUGACGUUACCGACAGAAUAAGCACCGGCUAACUUCGUGCCAGCAGCCGCGGUAAUACGAAGGGUGCAAGCGUUAAUCGGAAUUACUGGGCGUAAAGCGCGCGUAGGUGGUUCAGUAAGUUGGAAGUGAAAUCCCCGGGCUCAACCUGGGAACUGCUUUCAAAACUGCUGAGCUAGAGUACGGUAGAGGG